rnacentral:rRNA from 1 species
GAUGAACGCUGGCGGCGUGCCUAAUACAUGCAAGUCGAGCGAACAGAUGAGGAGCUUGCUCCUCUGACGUUAGCGGCGGACGGGUGAGUAACACGUGGAUAACCUACCUAUAAGACUGGGAUAACUUCGGGAAACCGGAGCUAAUACCGGAUAAUAUAUUGAACCGCAUGGUUCAAUAGUGAAAGACGGUUUUGCUGUCACUUAUAGAUUGAUCCGCGCCGCAUUAGCUAGUUGGUAAGGUAACGGCUUACCAAGGCAACGAUGCGUAGCCGACCUGAGAGGGUGAUCAGCCACACUGGAACUGAGACACGGUCCAGACUCCUACGGGAGGCAGCAGUAGGGAAUAUUCCGCAAUGGGCGAAAGCUUGACGGAGCAACGACGCGUGAGUGAUGAAGGUAUUCGGAUCGUAAAACUCUGUUAUUAGGGAAGAACAAAUGUGUAAGUAACUAUGCACGUCUUGACGGUACCUAAUCAGAAAGACACGGAUAACUACGUG